CAGGUCUUGACAUCUUGCGCUAUCUAUAGAGAUAAGGAGUUCCUUUCGGGGACGCAAAGACAGGUGGUGCAUGGUUGUCGUCAGCUCGUGUCGUGAGAUGUUGGGUUAAGUCCCGCAACGAGCGCAACCCUUGUUAUUAGUUCCCAGCAUUAAGUUGGGCACUCUAAUGAGACUGCCGGUGACAAACCGGAGGAAGGUGGGGAUGACGUCAAAUCAUCAUGCCCCUUAUGACCUGGGCUACACACGUGCUACAAUGGCCGGUACAAAGAGAAGCAAGCUCGCGAAGGCAAGCGAAUCUCAAAAAUCCCUUCCCAGUUCGGACUGCAGUCUGCAACUCGACUGCACGAAGCUGGAAUCGCUAGUAAUCGC
rnacentral:rRNA from 1 species